GUAGCAUACUUUGGUGAGAGUGGCGCACGGGUGCGUAACACGUAUGCAACCUACCUAUAACCGGGACACAACCUCGAGAAAUUGAGGCUAAUAUCCCAUAACACUGCGAGAUGGCAUCAUUCUGCAGUUAAAACUCCGGUGGUUAUAGAUGGGCAUGCGCGACAUUAGCUAGUUGGUGAGGUAACGGCCCACCAAGGCUACGAUGUCUAGGGGUUCUGAGAGGAUUAUCCCCCACACUGGUACUGAGACACGGACCAGACUCCUACGGGAGGCAGCAGUAAGGAAUAUUGGUCAAUGGGCGCAAGCCUGAACCAGCCAUGCCGCGUGAAGGAUGACGGCCCUAUGGGUUGUAAACUUCUUUUGUACGGGAAAAAACCUCUGGUCGUGAAUCAGAGCUGAUGGUACCGUAAGAAUAAGCAUCGGCUAACUCCGUGCCAGCAGCCGCGGUAAUACGGAGGAUGCAAGCGUUAUCCGGAUUCAUUGGGUUUAAAGGGUGCGCAGGCGGAAUAAUAAGUCAGCGGUGAAAGCCUACAGCUUAACUGUAGAACUGCCAUUGAUACUGUUAUUCUUGAGUGUUGUUGAGGUAGGCGGAAUGUGUCAUGUAGCGGUGAAAUGCUUAGAUAUGACACAGAACACCGAUCGCGAAGGCAGCUUACCAAGCAACAACUGACGCUCAUGCACGAAAGCGUGGGGAUCAAACAGGAUUAGAUACCCUGGUAGUCCACGCCGUAAACGAUGAUCACUCGAUGUUGGCGAUACACAGUCAGCGUCUUAGCGAAAGUAUUAAGUGAU
rnacentral:rRNA from 1 species